UUAAUGAAUAUAAUGUGGAGUUGGUUGUAGCUGGUCCAUUUGGAUUUUUUAAAUAAUUUCCUUUGGACAUGUGCACACCUUCUCUUUCAUCCACACACACCUGUGAACUUGUGAGGCAGAUUUGCUCUUUGGGGACUUUAACUAGAAACCAAUUAGCUGCUGUCUACUUAAUUUACACAAACUCUAUUUAUUUUAAAACGAAUGUAAUUGAUGUAACGCAUCUAAUACU
rnacentral:rRNA from 1 species